GAAUUCGAUUCAGGCCUAACACAUGCAAGUCGUACGAGAGUUUUUAACUCAAGUGGCGGACGGGUGAGUAACACGUAAGAAUUUGCCUUUAGGAGGGGGAUAACGACUGGAAACGGUUGCUAAUACCCCAUAUGCUUUCGAGUGAAAUGGAUUUUCCGCCUAGAGAGAAGCUUGCGGCUGAUUAGCUUGUUGGUAAGGUAAUGCCUUACCAAGGCGACGAUAAGUAUCUGGUUUGUUUUUGGGGGCAGACACACUGGAACUGAGACACGGUCCAGACUCCUACGGG
rnacentral:rRNA from 1 species